GACGAACGCUGGCGGCGUGCUUAACACAUGCAAGUCGAACGGAAAGGCCCUGCUUUUGUGGGGUGCUCGAGUGGCGAACGGGUGAGUAACACGUGAGUAACCUGCCAUUGACUUUGGGAUAACUUCAGGAAACUGGGGCUAAUACCGGCUAGGAGCUACUGCUGCAUGGUGGGGGUUGGAAAGUUUCGGCGGUUGGGGAUGGACUGGCGGCUUAUCAGCUUGUUGGUGGGGUAGUGGCUUACCAAGGCUUUGACGGGUAGCCGGCCUGCGAGGGUGACCGGCCAAAUUGGGACGGAGAUGCGGCACAGACUACUACGGGAGGCAGCAGUGGGGAAUAUUGCACUAUGGGCGGAAGCCUGAUGCAGCAAAGCCGCGUGCGGGAUGACGGCCUUCGGGUUGUAAACCGCUUUCGCCUGUGACGAAGCGUGAGUGACGGUAAUGGGUAAAGAAGCACCGGCUAACUACGUG
rnacentral:rRNA from 1 species